rnacentral:rRNA from 1 species
UACGUAGGGCGCAAGCGUUGUCCGGAAUUAUUGGGCGUAAAGAGCUCGUAGGCGGCUUGUCACGUCGGGUGUGAAAGCCCGGGGCUUAACCCCGGGUCUGCAUUCGAUACGGGCUAGCUAGAGUGUGGUAGGGGAGAUCGGAAUUCCUGGUGUAGCGGUGAAAUGCGCAGAUAUCAGGAGGAACACCGGUGGCGAAGGCGGAUCUCUGGGCCGUUACUGACGCUGAGGAGCGAAAGCGUGGGGAGCGAACAGG